rnacentral:misc_RNA from 1 species
AAAACUUUUUGAUGAACUUGGCAUUGCUGCCAAAGAUGUACCUGUUGAUCAAUUCACUUCCAUUGGACGCAUUCUCUAUAAGGCCCCAUCUGAUGGAAGAUGGGGAGAGCAUGAGCUUGAUUACCUCCUGUUCAUUGUUCGGAAUGUCCAUGUGAAUCCGAACCCCGACGAAGUGGCAGAUAUCAAAUAUGUGAACCAGGAACAAUUGAAAGAACUGGUGAGGAAAGCAG